rnacentral:lncRNA from 7 species
AGUGAUGCGCAGCACUCGGGCUGCUGUGUGCCGGCCCUGCUGAGGAUGUGGUGUUAAUUCCUCUCUGCAGCUCCUCCACGUGUUUGAUUAAAAAGUUACCGACUUCUCCGGACCUACAGAAGCAUCAGAGAAAAGUGCUGCAACGUGGCUCCUUCAGCCUCUGCAUGCAGCAGUAGAUGAAGAGCACGCUGGAAGGUGGAAGCUGUACUCUGGACCCUUCCGGCACCCAGAGAAAGGUAAAUGUUCGUGAAGAUGAGCAGUGUAGAACUGACUGAGCCUCGUGCAGCACUAGUGCUCCCAAGGCCAGCAGUGCUGUUGAAGAGCGCAGUGCUGGACAGAGUGACUGAACAUUGCAAGACCAAGGAGCAAAGUUUGUUUUGGAUGGGAUCCUCCUGCCUGUAUUCAAGAUACACAGGAACAUUUCAAAAGUCUCAGGAAGGAACUGUGUGUGUACUUUAGAACUUCAUUCCUCGUGGAAACGCUGCAGGGCGCCGGUGUGGGCUGUGGAGGUACCCCAGCCCUGGAGAUGGGCACAGACACCAGCAGGCAGUGUGGUAACCAAACAUGUCCUUCUGUUGGCUGUGUCAGAAGCUUUUCCUUCUGAACGUGCACUACCUGCCUGAGCCUGAUGCUGAUGCUGGGGUCACCUUCCUUGGCACCACUGCCUGUUGCUGUAGGCAGCAAAGCGUGUCUGAAAUAGGAUGGGAAAAGCAGCAUGGAAUUGAUCCAGCCCGAGGUGCAGGCUGGGUGAGUGGCAGAAGGCCCAGGGCUCCUUCUGCACAAGUCAGCAUUUAUUGAAAUGCCUCCUGGCCAACGCGCAGCAGUGCGAGCCCCAGGAGUCUGCUUCACAUCUCAUUUGCCUUGCCCGAAUCAAAACAUUAAUUAUCAUCCAAGUAACACUACUUUCCGACUGUGGUGCUUGCUUUACUUCCAGGACUGCAUUCUCCCAUGUUCUGUGUUUUGUCCUUUGUGACUGCCCACAGCAGGGAGAGCCUGCGUUACUGAUGGGCAAAGCUGGGGCAUCUCCUGUAUCAGUGGGGUUUACACUGGCUUGAAUUAAUGGAUGGUAUUUGCAUGGAGCCAUAUCUUCCAAGACUCAGGAGUAUGAACCAAAUUAAGCAUUUGGGGCAGAAGAAGAAAUACAACAUAAUAUUCUUGUUUUAUUCCCAUUAGUUCUGUUCUCUAUAAAUAGUAAUAGUGCAGUGUGUAAUGCAUUCCCUCAUGUCAGAGUUUAUCAGGGAAGUGCUUUGGCUGGGCGAUUGCUGCGGGAAGUAUAAAGGGCUGUGCCUGGUUCCAGCAACACCUUUUGCUUUCACUGUUAAAUAUUACUGUUAAUAAAAACAGAUUUUUAUGUAGUAG